AUAGUGGAGGGGAGAUCAGGAUGUUCUAUCUACAUAGUGGAGGGGAGAUCAGGAUGUUCUAUCUACAUAGUGGAGGGGAGAUCAGGAUGUUCUAUCUACAUAGUGGAGGGGAGAUCAGGAUGUUCUAUCUACAUAGUGGAGGGGAUAAAGUUGUUAUAUCUGCAUAGAGGAAAUGGGGAGGGAUUAAAGUUGUUAUAUCUGCAUAGAGGGGGAGGGGAUAUUGGUCUGCAGUGUUUGUUCUGCUAUAUGCAUCUAACGCUCUGUGUUGGUCUAUGGUUCUACAGUGUCUUACUGGUCUAGUGUGUUCAUGAUCAGUACAGACUUGGUUAGAGAACGGGGAGGAUCUGUAACUGAGUGUUGGGGUUAGAGAACAGAGAGGGUCUGUAACUGGGUGUUGGGGUUAGAGAACAGAGAGGGUCUGUAACUGGGUGUUGGGGUUAGAGAACAGAGAGGGUCUGUAACUUGAGUGUUGGGGUUAGAGAACGGAGAGGGUCUGUAACUGAGUGUUGGGGUUAGAGAACAGAGAGGGUCUGUAACUGAGUGUUGGGGUUAGAGAACGGAGAGGGUCUGUAACUGAGUGUUGGGGUUAGAGAACGGAGAGGGUCUGUAACUGAGUGUUGGGGUUAGAGAACAGAGAGGGUCUGUAACUGAGUGUUGGGGUUAGAGAACGGAGAGGGUCUGUAACUGAGUGUUGGGGUUAGAGAACGGAGAGGGUCUGUAACUGAGUGUUGGGGUUAGAGAACGGAGAGGGUCUGUAACUGAGUGUUGGGGUUAGAGAACAGAGAGGGUCUGUAACUGGGUGUUGGGGUUAGAGAACGGAGAGGGUCUGUAACUGAGUGUUGGGGUUAGAGAACGGAGAGGGUCUGUAACUGAGUGUUGGGGUUAGAGAACAGAGAGGGUCUGUAACUGAGUGUUGGGGUUAGAGAACAGAGAGGGUCUGUAACUGAGUGUUGGGGUUAGAGAACGGGGAGGGUCUGUAACUGAGUGUUGGGGUUAGAGAACAGAGAGGGUCUGUAACUGAGUGUUGGGGUUAGAGAACAGAGAGGGUCUGUAACUGAGUGUUGGGGUUAGAGAACGGGGAGGAUCUGUAACUGAGUGUUGGGGUUAGAGAACGGGGAGGGUCUGUAACUGAGUCUUGGGGUUAGAGAACGGGGAGGGUCUGUAACUGAGUGUUGGGGUUAGAGAACAGAGAGGGUCUGUAACUGAGUGUUGGGGUUAGAGAACGGAGAGGGUCUGUAACUGAGUGUUGGGGUUAGAGAACAGAGAGGGUCUGUAACUGAGUGUUGGGGUUAGAGAACGGGGAGGAUCUGUAACUGAGUGUUGGGGUUAGAGAACAGAGAGGGUCUGUAACUGAGUGUUGGGGUUAGAGAACAGAGAGGGUCUGUAACUGAGUGUUGGGGUUAGAGAACAGAGAGGGUCUGUAACUGAGUGUUGGGGUUAGAGAACGGAGAGGGUCUGUAACUGAGUGUUGGGGUUAGAGAACAGAGAGGGUCUGUAACUGGGUGUUGGGGUUAGAGAACAGAGAGGGUCUGUAACUGAGUGUUGGGGUUAGAGAACGGAGAGGGUCUGUAACUGAGUGUUGGGGUUAGAGAACGGAGAGGGUCUGUAACUGAGUGUUGGGGUUAGAGAACAGAGAGGGUCUGUAACUGAGUGUUGGGGUUAGAGAACAGAGAGGGUCUGUAACUGAGUGUUGAGGUUAGAGAACAGGGAGGGUCUGUAACUGGGUGUUGGGGUUAGAGAACAGAGAGGGUCUGUAACUGAGUGUUGAGGUUAGAGAACAGGGAGGGUCUGUAACUGAGUGUUGGGGUUAGAGAACAGAGAGGGUCUGUAACUGAGUGUUGGGGUUAGAGAACAGAGAGGGUCUGUAACUGAGUGUUGGGGUUAGAUAACAGAGAGGGGCUCUAACAGC